rnacentral:rRNA from 1 species
AACGAACGCUGGCGGCAUGCCUAACACAUGCAAGUCGAACGAGACCUUCGGGUCUAGUGGCGCACGGGUGCGUAACGCGUGGGAACCUGCCUUUAGGUUCGGAAUAACUCAGAGAAAUUUGAGCUAAUACCGGAUAAUGUCUUCGGACCAAAGAUUUAUCGCCUUUAGAUGGGCCCGCGUUGGAUUAGCUAGUUGGUGGGGUAAAGGCCUACCAAGGCGACGAUCCUUAGCUGGUCUGAGAGGAUGAUCAGCCACACUGGGACUGAGACACGGCCCAGACUCCUACGGGAGGCAGCAGUGGGGAAUAUUGGACAAUGGGCGAAAGCCUGAUCCAGCAAUGCCGCGUGAGUGAUGAAGGCCUU